rnacentral:rRNA from 1 species
UGAAGCCGGGCACUCUGGCGGGACUGCCAUCGACAAGAUGGAGAAGGUGGGAUGACGUCAAGUCAUCAUGGCCCUUAUGUCCAGGGCGACACACGUGCUACAAUGGCCGGCACAGCGGGAAGCGAGGCAGUGAUGCCAAGCGGAUCCCUUAAAGCCGGUCUCAGUUCGGAUUGAAGUCUGCAACUCGACUUCAUGAAGCUGGAAUCGCUAGUAAUCGCAGAUCAGCCAAGCUGCGGUGAAUACGUUCCCGGGCCUU